rnacentral:rRNA from 1 species
GACGAACGCUGGCGGCGUGCCUAACACAUGCAAGUCGAACGGACGAGGGGAGCUUGCUCCCGAGUUAGUGGCGGACGGGUGAGUAAUGCGUGAGCAACCUGCUCAAAGAAGGGGGACGAACAGUUGGAAACGACUGCUAAUACCGCAUGAUGUACGGAGAGGGCAUCCUUUCUGUACCAAAGAUUUUAUCGCUUUGAGAUGGGCUCACGUCUGAUUAGCUAGUUGGUGAGGUAACGGCUCACCAAGGCUGCGAUCAGUAGCCGGACUGAGAGGUUGAACGGCCACAUUGGGACUGAGAUACGGCCCAGAUCCUACGGGAGGCAGCAG